AAUUAAUUUAGUUUGAUUAAAUUAUUUAUAUAAAAGAAUAUUGUCUUUCUCCUCAUACAAAAUUAGGAUUCUAGUUCUUGCAAUCAAGCCUACUUUAAUUUUUAAAAAAUUAAAUAGCUAAACAUUUCCCGCCCACAAAUUUCCCAUUCCCGCGCGCGCCUCGGCCCUUAGCCCACUCUGUAAAUAAAUGAAUAUUAAAAAAAAAAAAUUGCCCUAAAAAUUUGCACCCACUCUCGACAAUUCCCACUCUUUCCAGAUUCCCCACUUUCUCCAAAAGCCCCAUUCUCAGUUAUGCCUUAAAAAUCCCUAAUUGCGGCAAGCAAAGGAAUAUAAAUCCCUAAUUGCGGCAAGCAAAGGAACCCACUAAUCUGUUUCAAGGGAAGGUUGCCUUGCUUGUUUGGAUCGCGAUUCCCUAAGCUCCAAAUUGAAUGGUGAUUCUUCUCCCCUCUCUCCGUCCUAAUUCAAGCAAUAGCCCCCUCAGGUGCUCAGGUUUUGUAUGCGUGUUUGGCUGUUCUGUUAGUCUGAUAACUCAGACUGGGGAGGCUCAAACGGAUGGGUUAGCCACAUUAACGGUGCCCUCUUUCACUUCCGGCAACCCAAGGGCUUUUGAAGGUUUUUGAAGGGCGGCCAGAAUUGCGACUCCUUAGCUGUGGGGUUAGCGUACCUUGCCUUAGAUUAUUUUGUGAGUUUGGGUCUAGGUCCAAGUUCUGGUAUGUACAGAUUUGUGUGUUUAUAUACGUAUAGAUUAGAUGAUUUUUGCAUUUUCUUCUAUAUGCUUUAUACGAACCGGUGAGGCUUAUUUGAUGAAUGCAUACAAUCUUUUGUAUCUUUAGAUGCAUUAAUUAAACAAGCCAAUUUCAAUUAUUAAUUAAUUAAGUCUAUGACAAAACAUAAAAUAUAUAUUGUUUAGAGAUUAAUCACCAGUGAGACCAUUUUCUAUCAUCUCUACAAUACCACUUGGGCAUGUUACAAUCGGAUUGCUUGUUCUUAGUUUCUUCUUUUCGUUGGUGUAGAUGUUUGUGUGUGUGUGUAUAUCACAUAUAACUAUUUAAAGAUGCAAACUUUCUCACAAGAUUGAUUUUGAUUGUAUGGUUGAUAUAAACUGGCUAUAUGUCUUGUUCUUGUAUAAUAUAUAAAAAUAACUUUAUGGGCUUGCUUAAUUUCUACUUUGUUCUUUUGCUUUUUCUUUUUUCAUUGUCAAUUUGAAUCUGUGACCAACCUUCUUUAAUUUUUUUUUUUUUUUGUACUCACAUAACAAAUUAUUAACUUCUACUAUUUUAUUGUUCUUUGUUUUUUUAAAUUUUUUAUUUUUCGGUAAAGUAACAAAAUUGUAUUGGGUAAAUCUGCUUCUAUCCCUCUGGAAGUCUCUGGAUUAGGGGAAUUAUGCAUGGUGGAGGAUUACACUGUUGUGUAGGUCAUUAUAAAUAUUUAAAAGAAAAUAAAAAGUUUUUUUUUUUACCAAAAAGAAAAUAAAAGAUUAUUGAGUUACUUCAAGUCUUCAACCAAUUCAUAUAUCAUCAGAACUAAACUUCACUUCUCUACAUCAUAGGAACAAAAUCUCACACAUAUAAAAUUCGCAAAAUCUAAGUUACUCUGGACAACACAGAAUUUGCUUUAAAAUUGGAAUUGAAAAUCAUACUACUUGCAACUUUAAACUAAUUAAUUUCAAAAACUCUAAAUUUCAUACUUAAAUGGUAUAAGCUAAGUUUUACCUGCAUAACUUAGGUUUUGCCAUUUUCGCAUUCCCGUUCUCGCUCUCGCUCCCACUUUUGUGUGACUUAAGGAGUCUAAGCUAUCCUCCCCGGGUAUAAGCAAUAAUACUUCAAUUCCAAAUUAUGUAUAAAUUAUAUAUAUACAUGGGAUUCAAAACUUGAUGUUUCUUUCAUCUAUUUCCAAAUACCAUUGACCAAUAACUUACCGGAUAUAAAAAACUCCAACAUAAUACUGUUAACCAAUUAACACUCAAGUGGCACCACUUAUUGAAAUAGGCUUGUUUGAUGAAUUCAUCUAAAGAUAAAAAAGACAUGACUAACAAAUUUAGGUUAUUUUUUUUUAGGAUUUAUCAGCAACUAAUGUAGCAUUAAUCAUAUCUAUAAAAUUGGUUUUGAGGUUGUAAGUUGUUUAUUUUGUUGUUGAUGUAUGGCUUGGGUUGGUGGGUUCCUUUUUAUGCUUGGGUUUGGCAGUGGUUGUCCAGCUGGAGAUGGGGUUGGUUUGUGAAGAUUUGGUAUGAGCUUUUUAUUGGGAAGAAGAUGCAUACUCACUGGAGUUGUGGGUGGGUCUUAUUUUUGGGUUUUGGCUCGUGGUUGUUGUUAUUGAGCAUUUGGAGGCGGCAACAUAUUUGCCAUCCCAUAAGUGGUGCUACUUGAGUGUUAAUCCUGUUUGGUUGUGCUUAUUUUUUGUGUAUUGGAUUAUGGCUUUUUGUUUUCUUUUGUACUCAUUGUUUUUGGGUUUUUGAAUUUGGUUUCUUUUGCUUUAGUGGGUCUGGGGUUUCCAUGAUUUUUGUACCCCCUAGUGUAUAAUUUUGGAUUUGCCAUUUUAGUUUUAAUAAAAUAACUCAACGCUAUAAAUGUUGUUAAUAUCAUUAUCCCAUGUUGGACCAAUUGUAGGUCUUUUGAAUCUAGUUAUAAGAUAGCACCGACAAUAGCUUGAAUGCUUGAUAGUAUGAGAAAGCUAAUAUUUCAUUUUUUUUUUUUUUUUUAAUUUUAUUUAAAGGUUCUUGUAGUGAAUAAGCAUGAACGCAUGAAAUUAAAAUCAGAAAUUAUAGAGUUUAAAUUAAACACUUUUAAGUACAUAAAAGUAGUAAUGAUUGACUGUUAAUUUUGCAAUAAGUUAUUGUAAGCCUGUUGAGCAACUGGUUGAUGGCCAUAAGUUAAUUUUGCUUUGGCCAUCAACAUGCUUAGGAUAAAGCAAAAUUAACUUAUUUUUCUGAUUCUGCUUUGAUUAGUAAAACAUCUUUCCCUAAACAAUAUCUUUAUGUUAUCUGAAUACCUAAUUUUUUUAAUACUAAUUUAUUUGUAGACACUUCUUAAACAAUCUCUCCCUUUGACUAUAAUUGAGGGGGACUAUUUAUUUGUACCAGUAAAGUAUCAAUAAGUGUUAUUGAAUGUUUCGGCUUUUCAAUUAAUUUUGAAGUGCAAUUAGCAUGAGAAUGAGAUUGUAAUAUUUUCUCCAGAAAUAAGUACUCGUUGCAGGAACUUGUUCUUAUCGUGUGAUCACAUACAUCUUGCAAAGGCAUUUACUUGUUUCUACUUGUAUUUAGUUUGAAUUCCAUUAAUUUCAAUACAACACAUCAGUCUUAGGAAUGGAAAGAAAUUGUAUGUCAGUGGUCUUCUAGAAGAACAAUUUAAUUUGGAAUUAAUAUGGUAAGCAACUUGUCAAGACUAGGCAUAUCAAACCAGCCCCAUUCCAACCAUAACUUGUUGAUCAACUAAUUGGAUGCUCCUUUUCUUCUUUGAAGAAUUUUUUUUAUAUAUAUAUUAUAUUUCUUAUUAAUUAGGAAGAAAAUGAAACAUUAGGAAGAAAAUGAAACAUUCUUGUGGAGAGGAAUACUAAUAUACUAAUCAGUUUGUGAUUAAUUUUAGUUUUCUAUUUCGAGUUUGGACCACUUCUAGUUCAACUUUAUAACAAGUUUUAGUUCUGAGACUAAAAUCUCAAAUUGGUUUUGGACAAAGCACAACACAACCCUUAAAAUCUCUAUGGAGCUUAACAAUGGCGAAUCAAAAUCUGAGCAAUGCUCAUUCUGAGUUGCGUUCCUGUCCAGUUUGGGGUAUAAUAAUGCAUAAGUUCUUGAAGCACGCCGUGUGGCUGCAAAACAAGCAUUUCAGGCUCUGUCAAGUGAGAUUACAGAAGAAAUCUGGAGCACACUAUAUUUUCGUGUUGUAAAGAAAGCAUUGUGUGAGAAAUGAAGGUUGUUUUGCAACAGAUCUAAGAGUGAAGAUAAGGUUUGUCUGCAUCUUUAGCAUUAAAAUACUUCAUGAUUUAUUACAAUGACUACAUCUGAGACCAGUUGCUCUUAAGCUUCGCAUCUGGAUGAUUUGUAAUAACUGCACUGUAUGAAUUUAUUUGUUAAUAUAUGAAGUUGAUGUCCACUGGACCUUUCAGUUUAUAAAUAAAUAAAAAAGUUUUAGUUUUGAGACUACACCAUUUACAAUUCAAGUAUGAACCACUUUUAAUUACUUUCAGUUGACACCACUUUUGGAUUGAGUUUGCACCCUUUUUGAUUCAGUUUUGUUACUAGUUUGACUUCCAAUUUGUACCACUGAUGCUUAGAUUGCCUGUCCAGUUUCUUUUUCCCUUUCUCUUUAAAUAUUUUAUACUAUAAUAAUUUGUUUUCAAAUGCUAUAUAUGAAUAUGAUAUUAGGAACAAUUAUGGAGAAAAACAAAAGUCUAAGGGUGUUCACAAGCCUUACCAAGUUAUAGUCAAAGAGGCCUUCGAACUCUGGAAAAAAAUGAGUGCUGAGGAGAAGGAGCCUUAUGGAGCAACCUACUUGAAAGAAUUGGAAAUCUUCAGGAAGGAUCAAAAGAUUGUUGGAUGAGCUCAUGCUACAAGAAUUCAAGCUCUUUCUAUUUAAGACGGUUUAAGUAGUUUAUGUUCAGAUCUUUGAACCCUUUGUUUAGGAUUCUAUAGCUCAUUUUUGUGUAAGAUCUCGGAACAUUCUAUUUAGGAUACUAGCUUGUUUUUGUCCAGAUGCUAAGACUCUUGUUUUUUUUUUUUGCACGAUGGACUUUAUUGUAUAUGUUGUAAACAAUACUCUUUUGGUUCGUGUGGCUUAUGUAAUAUCAAAUAUUUAUUUAUUUGCAUAAUCAUUUUGAUGUGUGAUUAAAUUUUA